rnacentral:rRNA from 1 species
AAAUUGAAGAGUUUGAUCAUGGCUCAGAUUGAACGCUGGCGGCAGGCCUAACACAUGCAAGUCGAACGGUAACAGGAAGCAGCUUGCUGCUUUGCUGACGAGUGGCGGACGGGUGAGUAAUGUCUGGGAAACUGCCUGAUGGAGGGGGAUAACUACUGGAAACGGUAGCUAAUACCGCAUAACGUCGCAAGACCAAAGAGGGGGACCUUCGGGCCUCUUGCCAUCGGAUGUGCCCAGAUGGGAUUAGCUAGUAGGUGGGGUAACGGCUCACCUAGGCGACGAUCCCUAGCUGGUCUGAGAGGAUGACCAGCCACACUGGAACUGAGACACGGUCCAGACUCCUACGGGAGGCAGCAGUGGGGAAUAUUGCACAAUGGGCGCAAGCCUGAUGCAGCCAUGCCGCGUGUAUGAAGAAGGCCUUCGGGUUGUAAAGUACUUUCAGCGGGGAGGAAGGGAGUAAAGUUAAUACCUUUGCUCAUUGACGUUACCCGCAGAAGAAGCACCGGCUAACUCCGUGCCAGCAGCCGCGGUAAUACGGAGGGUGCAAGCGUUAAUCGGAAUUACUGGGCGUAAAGCGCACGCAGGCGGUUUGUUAAGUCAGAUGUGAAAUCCCCGGGCUCAACCUGGGAACUGCAUCUGAUACUGGCAAGCUUGAGUCUCGUAGAGGGGGGUAGAAUUCCAGGUGUAGCGGUGAAAU